rnacentral:rRNA from 1 species
GGACCGACCGAGCUGACGCAGAAAUGCGCCGCUCCUAUGAGGACGCCUAGAACACGGAAGUUAAGCUCUGCGGCGCCGAUGGUAGUUGGGGGCUGUCCCCCUGUGAGAGUAGGACGUUGCCAGGCA